AUUUAUGAUAGUUUAAAUUUUUAGAAUAAUAAUUUGUGGUGUUAUUGGUGAAGUGUUUUCUCUAAAUC
rnacentral:tRNA from 1 species